AUACGGAGGAUGCGAGCGUUAUCCGGAUUUAUUGGGUUUAAAGGGAGCGUAGGUGGGAUAUUAAGUCAGCUGUGAAAGUUUGGGGCUCAACCUUAAAAUUGCAGUUGAUACUGGUUUCCUUGAGUACGGUACAGGUGGGCGGAAUUCGUGGUGUAGCGGUGAAAUGCUUAGAUAUCACGAAGAACUCCGAUCGCGAAGGCAGCUCACCGGGCCGGAACUGACACUGAUGCUCGAAAGUGCGGGUAUCAAACAGUAUUAGAUACCCUGGUAGUCCGCACAGUAAACGAUGAAUACUCGCUGUUUGCGAUACACGGUAAGCGGCCAAGCGAAAGCGUUAAGUAUUCCACCUGGGGAGUACGCCGGCAACGGUGAAACUCAAAUGAAUUGGCGGGG
rnacentral:rRNA from 1 species